rnacentral:rRNA from 1 species
GACGAACGCUGGCGGCGUGCCUAAUACAUGCAAGUUGAGCGCUGAAGGUUGGUACUUGUACCGACUGGAUGAGCAGCGAACGGGUGAGUAACGCGUGGUGAAUCUGCCUUUGAGCGGGGGACAACAUUUGGAAACGAAUGCUAAUACCGCAUAAAAACUUUAAACACAAGUUUUAAGUUUGAAAGAUGCAAUUGCAUCACUCAAAGAUGAUCCCGCGUUGUAUUAGCUAGUUGGUGAGGUAAAGGCUCACCAAGGCGAUGAUACAUAGCCGACCUGAGAGGGUGAUAGGCCACAUUGGGACUGAGACACGGCCCAAACUCCUACGGGAGGCAGCAGUAGGGAACCUUAGGCAAUGGACGAAAGUCUGACCGAGCAACGCCGCGGGAGUGAAGAAGGUUUUCGGAUCGUAAAACUCGGUUGGUAGAGAAGAACGUUGGUGAGAGUGGAAAGCUCAUCAAGUGACGGUAACUACCCAGAAAGGGACGGCUAACUACGUG